rnacentral:lncRNA from 1 species
UGGAAAGCAGCGAUCAAAUGAGAAAUUUAUCUAUAAGAGAUGAGACCAGUAAAUGUACUGCCAAACUGAAGUGAUCCUAAAGGCCUGGACAUCCUUAUGCGUGAGAAAAGCAUGGUAAACAGCGUGAAGAUUUACAGGAUUUCAGAACAGCAAUAAUUUUUGCUUAAUACCAGCUAUUGAGCACAUUUCUCUUUUAUUAUUGUUGUAAAGGAUAACUAUUACAAAUUUUAAUGAGUUAUGUCUCAACCUGUUUAGCAAUAAUGACUGUGCAUGUUAGUUUGUGAUUCUCUCAUUGCUUCAUCAACUUUCUUUUCUUAAUGGUGUUUUACAGGGG